rnacentral:rRNA from 1 species
GUCUACAACCAUACCACCCUGAACAUGCCCAGUCUCGUCUGAUCACCAAAGCUAAGCAGGGUUGGGCCUGGUUAGUACUUGGAUGGGAGAGAGAGAAAGAGAGACACCUGCAGCCU